GUCAGGAUGGCCGAGCGGUGUAAGGUGCUGAGUUUAGGUUGCAGUGCACUUUUGUGGACGUGGUUUUGAAUCCCAAGUUUGACA